rnacentral:misc_RNA from 1 species
GAUGAAGAACGCAGCGAAAUGCGAUAAGUAAUGUGAAUUGCAGAAUUCAGUGAAUCAUCGAAUCUUUGAACGCACAUUGCGCCCGCCAGUAUUCUGGCGGGCAUGCCUGUUCGAGCGUCAUUUCAACCAUCAAGCCCCCGGCUUGUGUUGGGGACCUGCGGCUGCCGCAGGCCCUGAAAACCAGUGGCGGGCUCGCUAGUCACUCCGAGCGUAGUAGUUACAUCUCGCUCAGGGCGUGCUGCGGGUUCCGGCCGUUAAAAGCCUUAUUUACCCAAGGUUGACCUCGGAUCAGGUAGGAAGACCCGCUGAACUUAAGCAUAUCCAAUAAGCGGAGGA